CGGGUUUUUACAGUAUCAAUAUCGCGAGGGCAAGUCUGGUGCCAGCAGCCGCGGUAAUUCCAGCUCCAAUAGCGUAUAUUAAACUUGUUGCAGUUAAAAAGCUCGUAGUUGAAUUUCUGCUGUUUCGUUGACUGCGUUUGGCGUUUGUCAUCGUUGCGGCUUGGUUGGGUUUCGAUUAUUCGUUUCCCGGCGUUUACUUUGAGAAAAUUAGAGUGCUUGAAGCAGGCUUUUGCCUUGAAUACUUUAGCAUGGAAUAACGGAGUAGGACUUUGGUUCUAUUUUGUUGGUUUUAGGAGCCAGAGUAAUGGUUAAUAGGAACAGUUGGGGGCAUUCGUAUUUGACUGUCAGAGGUGAAAUUCUUAGAUUUGUCAAAGACGAACUACUGCGAAAGCAUUUGCCAAGGAUGUUUUCAUUAAUCAAGAACGAAAGUUAGGGGAUCGAAGACGAUCAGAUACCGUCGUAGUCCUAACCAUAAACUAA
rnacentral:rRNA from 2 species